rnacentral:rRNA from 1 species
GCAGUCGAACGGUGAACACGGAGCUUGCUCUGUGGGAUCAGUGGCGAACGGGUGAGUAACACGUGAGCAACCUGCCCCUGACUCUGGGAUAAGCGCUGGAAACGGCGUCUAAUACUGGAUACGAGUAGCGGCCGCAUGGUCAGUUACUGGAAAGAUUUUUUGGUUGGGGAUGGGCUCGCGGCCUAUCAGCUUGUUGGUGAGGUAAUGGCUCACCAAGGCGUCGACGGGUAGCCGGCCUGAGAGGGUGACCGGCCACACUGGGACUGAGACACGGCCCAGACUCCUACGGGAGGCAGCAGUGGGGAAUAUUGCACAAUGGGCGGAAGCCUGAUGCAGCAACGCCGCGUGAGGGAUGACGGCCUUCGGGUUGUAAACCUCUUUUAGCAGGGAAGAAGCGAAAGUGACGGUACCUGCAGAAAAAGCGCCGGCUAACUACGUGCCAGCAGCCGCGGUAAUACGUAGGGCGCAAGCGUUAUCCGGAAUUAUUGGGCGUAAAGAGCUCGUAGGCGGUUUGUCGCGUCUGCUGUGAAAUCCCGAGGCUCAACCUCGGGCCUGCAGUGGGUACGGGCAGACUAGAGUGCGGUAGGGGAGAUUGGAAUUCCUGGUGUAGCGGUGGAAUGCGCAGAUAUCAGGAGGAACACCGAUGGCGAAGGCAGAUCUCUGGGCCGUAACUGACGCUGAGGAGCGAAAGGGUGGGG